UACAGCUGGGUGUUUUAGCAUUUCAUGUUUUGGUCGUGAGGGGAAUUUGAUGUUAGCUGUAG
rnacentral:tRNA from 1 species